CUGGACCAGAUAAGCAGCUUUACAUUCAUGCUAACCCCAUCAGUGCACCGGGAAUUAACCCAGUUCAUGUUGUUAAGCUUUUUGGAGUCAAUAUUUUGCAACUGCCGGUGGGGAAGACAGAAGGGGCAUUCUUGGAAUUACAACAACCUACCAAGAAGCAAAGAAUAAUCAAACCUUUGUAAUACAUAUUCAAUUUAAUUACCUUUUUCCUUUUUUCUUUUUCUUGCCAAGUUGCGCAACCUGACUUGUAUUAACCCAAAACAAAACAAUAACAUUUUUUUUAAUCUCUUUAUUUAUGCCUUUUAAUUUUCUUAAUCAAUUGCUUAUAAUAUUUACCCUUUUUUUAACCAUUAAAUUCUUUUUCUUUUCUUCAAAUUUUGAGUUGGGUUAUUAAAUGACUGCAAAUGGAUCUAAAAUAUUAUCCAAAUGGUUAGAUAUUUUAUGGACUUGGAAUAAUACCCUUCUCAAUCAAUGUAUUGGAUCAACCAAUAAGUGCACCUUAACUACUUAAUUAGCUAAAAGUAUAUGUCUUAGGAUAUAUGAUUUUGUUUCAAAAGUCAAAUUUUUAUAGUUCAACUAAUAGCAAUAAUAAGAAUAAUGAGACCACGUUUAUUACUUUUCUAACAUCAAAAGUUUUUUUUCUUUUUAUUCUUUUUCCUUACAUUAUACUUUUAUUUUAAAAGUCAAAAGUUUAAAAUUGCAAUAUAUUGGAUGAUAAGACUAAAUAUAUAGUCUGCCUCUUAAAAACCACUGAAUAAUUAAUAUAAAUGAUAUGAAAUUAAUUAAAGUUCGCAUAACAAUAAGAACAUAAUAAUCCAAAAAUAACACACUCAAAUCGUACAAAUCAAUACACUUUAAAAUAUCUAUAACGUGAAAACUGUCCUUUUAUAAAUAAUUUUGUUACUUUCCUUACUUUUUCAAUAUACAAAAUAAAAUCAAAAUAUUUAUAAAAUAUAAUAAAAUUUUAAAAUAUAUCAAUCAUAGAUACACUUUUAUCGGUAUUAAUUUAUGAUAUUGAUAGAAGUACGGUGAUAGAUUUAAAUUUUUUGUUAUAUUUGUUAAUAUUUUCAAUAAUUUUAAUUUAUUUUAAAGAUAAUUAUUAAUAAAUAAGGUCUAAAAAAGGUAAUUUCUAAAAAAAAUAAGAUGUAGUUUUCAAAAUUCUCAUAUAUUUUUGGAAUGCAUUUUUCUCAAUCUAUCUAAAAUAUUCUUUCUUGAUAUAACCGACACAAAUAUGCUAAAGUUCUACUUGAGAUUAUUGUAGUUUCUAAAAUACACAGUUCUACUGUGCUUUUAAAAAACUAAACUGUUAAAUUGAGCAAAUUAGUACUUGAUAAAUUUUAAAUUUAAAAUACCUGUUGCAUAAAGAAAGUAGUCUUCAAUUUUAUUUAUUUAUAUGUUAUUAUUUAAUUUACGAAUUUUAUAAUCGAAUUAUUUAUAUAUAACUUUCAUAGGUUAUACUAAAUUUAUUUAUUUAUAUUUAUUUAAAUUAGAUGAUCAAAAAGCCUAAAGAUGACUUUCCGCUCAUACAUGUUAUAUAGAUAGUCUAGACAAUAACUAUGACAAAUAAUUACCAACAAAUAAAAGUAAGAAAAGGAAACACAAAAGUUGGUAACCCAGUAUUUAUACAUCUAAAGGUAGAGUUACCAAAAAAAAAAGAUAAUCAACUGAUAUCAAAAGUAAGCAAAUUAAAAUGUAGUACUUAUUUGUAAUAGGCACUACAAACUACAACGACUCCCUUAGAGCUAAACUAAAUAAGCUUAUCUAGGCUCCCCCGCUACAAAAGGGGUAUUUUUCAAACCCAUGUAAUUGUAAAAGGAAAGAAAAGGUUAAAAAAUAAUGCUUAGGGCGUUGUGAAGAGUUUGGUUAGGAGAAGUUGUAUGGAUCGUCUGACGACGAUAUCAAAGACGUUGAGAGUUUGAUAAAUUUUUUAAAAAAUUACCUUCCAUUAUUACUUUUGUUUAUUUCUAUAAUCUACCAUUUUGAACCCAAAUCAAUAAUAAUUAAGUAAAUUGUUUUCAUACUUUAGAAUCAAACCCAUCAUGUCAAUUACAAAAUCAAAAGUUUCUAACUCAUAAUUGAAAUUUUGUAAUUCAUUACAUGACACAUUUAGUUAUGUCUAAUACAAGGAAGAAAGUUACAAAGUAAUUUCUUCAUAGUGAGUAAACAAAAUACAAGAUUCACCAUGUUUUGAAGAUUAAAGUAAUGAGUGUAAAUUCAAAGGCUAAUUAAUCAAUUGUCCAUAUACAAAACUUCAUUCUAUCCCCUACAAUAUACACCAACAAAAGAAUAACAUAUAGAGGAUGGAGUCAUUUACCAUAUUUUUCCAAAGUAUUUAUUAAUAGACAUUAGAAAAUCUUCAAGGUAGCACCUUGAAGAUAUAGAUAAAUUCAUUAAGUGAAAACUUUUUCUGUCUAUUUUCGUAGAAAGCAUAGAAUAAUUAAAGCCAUACAAAGUUUAAAGAAGGCUUAAAAGCUUGAAACAAAGAAAAAAUGGAUAAAGAACCACGGUAAAUCAAGAACAAGAUGGUAGAGAUUAAUUCUAAUAAAAUUUCCUUAAAAUAGAGGUAACAAAUUUUUUUAUGGAAUUCAUUACUCAAAGCAAUAUAAUACAAAGUUUUGACCACUAUCAACAUGAACAUUUUCAUGAACAUAUUUUCUUCCAAAAGGCUGGUUUUCUUAUAGCAUUUGAUUGCCUAUAUUAUUAAGGAAGAAUGGAUACAUUUUCCAUAAUAAGUAAAUUCCCAAUAAGGUUCAAAACAUUAAACAUAAAAGGAAAAAGAAAGGCAAUUACCUCAAAAAAAUAUUAAAUUCUUACCAGAAAUCUAUCAUUAUAUUUCUCUCUAAUCCUUGCAGCCUCUAUACUUUCUUUUCUCUAGUAAAACAAACAUGGUAAACUCCUCAGAUCUAAACUUACAAAAUGGACUUAAUACAAUACCAAUGCAGAAAAGAACAACAUUUUGGUAACAUAUAGUAGAAGACUACUAAGAUCGUGCUCUUGCUUGGAGUAACUUUUGGGCACCAGUUUUGAAAAUACAAUCCACCAGUGUCAAACUCCUUAAAUUUUAAUUAAAAACAAAAAAAAACAAAACCCCAGAAGUUUAGAUUGGAAAACUAACAAAUCUUAAAAUAUGAACAUUGCAAUUCAAACCCAACUAAUAAGGAUUGUGGAGAGAAAAAGGACAAACCGGGAGAGAGUUGAGCAAAACUAAUUGCGGCUGGCAGAGGACGAGAGAGGGAUGGACAAAGAGCGGAGACACAGAGGCAGGCAACUAGAAGAUUAACAAUGGGCGGCGGCGAAAGGGAGCCCUAGAAGUUCGAAGAGGAAGAUGUGAGAGAUGAAGUUUCAUAUCUGUGUUAUUGUGGGUUUUUCAAAAGGCAAUCUCCCGACGCCGUACGAAGGGUGCCAGAAGUUAAUAGGGAAUUCUCGAGGGGCUAUUUAAACUGUUGGAAGUUUGAAGAGAACCCCCAAUGCAUUAUUUAACAUGCAGGAGUUGGUAGAGAACUUCCAAUACCAUUAAAAACGUCGUCGGGAAAUACCAAAUUAAGUUUAUUGUUUUUUAUAACUGAAAGCCGGAUGAUCUAUCUCCCGACGCCAUUUUAUGCGAUGGUGGCUCCUCCUAAGUAUGACAAUAUUAGUGUCUUCACUUCCGUUUUUUUUGUUAAUGAUUGAGAGACUCCUCUCAUGAAGAUAUCGUCUUUCCUUGUGGUUUA
rnacentral:lncRNA from 1 species